UGCGUAGGGGGCAAGCGUUGUCCGGAAUCAUUGGGCGUAAAGCGCGCGUAGGCGGCCCGGUAAGUCCGCUCUGAAAGUCCAGGGCUCAACCCUGGAAAGCGGGUGGAUACUGCCGGGCUAGAAUCCGGAAGAGGCGAGUGGAAUUCCUGGUGUAGCGGUGGAAUGCGCAGAUAUCAGGAGGAACACCAAUAGCGAAGGCAGCUCGCUGGGACGGUAUUGACGCUAAGGCGCGAAAGCAUGGGGAGCGAACAGG
rnacentral:rRNA from 1 species